UACGUAGGGCGCAAGCGUUGUCCGGAAUUAUUGGGCGUAAAGAGCUCGUAGGUGGUCUGUUGCGUCCGCUGUGAAAACCUAAGGCUUAACCUUGGGCCUGCAGUGGAUACGGGCAGACUAGAGGUAGGUAGGGGAGAAUGGAAUUCCCGGUGUAGCGGUGAAAUGCGCAGAUAUCGGGAGGAACACCGGUGGCGAAGGCGGUUCUCUGGACCACAACUGACGCUGAGGCGCGAAAGCUAGGGGAGCAAACAGG
rnacentral:rRNA from 1 species